GCCAGGUGUGGUGGCGCACACCUGUAAUUCCAACGGCUUACAGGGCUGAGGCAGGAGGAUCUUGAGUUCAAAGCCAGCCUCAUCAAUUUAGUAAUGCUCUAAGCAACUCAAUGAGACCCUGUCUCUA
rnacentral:sRNA from 1 species